AUUGAACGCUGGCGGCAUGCUUUACACAUGCAAGUCGAACGGUAACAGGCCGCAAGGUGCUGACGAGUGGCGAACGGGUGAGUAAUGCAUCGGAACGUGCCCAGAAGUGGGGGAUAGCCCGGCGAAAGCCGGAUUAAUACCGCAUGAGACCUGAAGGUGAAAGCGGGGGAUCGCAAGACCUCGCGCUUUUGGAGCGGCCGAUGUCAGAUUAGCUAGUUGGUGGGGUAAAGGCCUACCAAGGCGACGAUCUGUAGCUGGUCUGAGAGGACGACCAGCCACACUGGGACUGACACACGGCCCGGACUCCUACGGGAGGCAGCAGUGGGGAAUUUUGGACAAUGGGCGCAAGCCUGAGCCAGCCAUGCCGCGUGCGGGAAGAAGGCCUUCGGGUUGUAAACCGCUUUUGUCAGGGAAGAAACGCUCUGGGCUAAUACCCUGGAGUAAUGACGGUACCUGAAGAAUAAGCACCGGCUAACUACGUGCCAGCCGCCGCAGUAA
rnacentral:rRNA from 1 species